UUCUUCUCCUUCUUAUGUGCUCCUUUUAUACGAUUAUUACUUGGUGUUUCUUUCUCCAUUACUUAGUUUGUGGGAACAUAGGUUGUUGAGACCUGGAUACUAAGUCCCAAUCAAAGAUCUGACCAUGGUUUCUGAAACUGGUAAGUAUCACCCGAUAAGUAUCAGUAUCGUCCAUGAACAAUGCAGCUAUAUUGGCUGGAACCAACCUGAUACAGGGACAAUAUGAGGCUAUACGACCCUCUAUUGGUGGUGACCAAACUGAUUUGCAAACCAUGAAUGUGACUGAAAAUUUCACUCUAAUAAUUAACUGCAGAAUUAGAGUUCCCAGGUGCACAAGAUGCUUCAGUUGAACGAACUUUGAGAUGUUAAAGCAGAGUACUUCGAAUUUUCACCCAAGAGUCCGAGACGACAUGUAUCAUUAUCAGAGCCCUAGAAAUAAGAUACAUGAGUCAUUUCUCUGGGGCCCACAAUAUUAGUAGAAAAACAGUUUUGCCAUCUGAGAUAGACAACCCCACAAGAUGCCACAUUUGGACUUGAGAUGAUGAAGUAGCAUACUUCAAAUUAUCACAGAAGACGGAAUGUAUCAUCAACAGAACCCUAGAAAUAACAUACGUGAGUCAUUUCUCUGGGCCCACAAUAUUAGUCAAAAAAAGAAAAGCCAGGAAUUGAUUUCAAUCUAGGAUCCAAAAUUUCCAUUGAUUCCAGUUUCAGAAUUGAUUUCAAUCUUGUACCCAAAUUUUCAAUUGAGACCAAUUUCAGAAUUUGAUUUCAGUCUAGGAUUCAAAAUUUCAAGCCAUUCCAGUUUUUAAGUGAUUUAUUGCUUCUUGCAUUUGCUUACCAAUCCUUCUUCUUCCUCUUCUUCUUCUUUUUUUUUUUGCAUGGCAUAGGAUGCAUUUGCACUUAGUAGCCAUGAAACUCAUGAGUGUACAAACAGAGAACUUCGAUUUAUUCUGAUACAUUGAUUUUUUUCAUGCUUCUGAAGGUUAAUAGCCUGGAACUAUGGAUUUUAGUUGCAGGAUCCUUCUAACUAGGUGCUGCUCCUGCUUUGAGUAAUGUUCGGACUCACACUCCCACUUCCUAGUUGUUUAUACUUGCUAGUGUACUUGGACGCUUUAAAUAGCCUUGUAAAUGGGACCCACAUUUACCUGCCCAUUUAAAGCAGCCAAAUGAAUGGGACCCACAAAACGACUUUCAAGAAGAAAAACUGAAGCGGCAUUGUUAAAGAACCAACCAAAAUAAAAACCAGAUUAAAAGAGAUAGAGAUCUGUCUGUUUGGAGGGUAACCGUGAUAAUGAUGCCACAGUGGAUAAAGGAGAGGGGUCAUUGCUGCCAGCUCAAGGUCAUUGUAACCAAAACCACGAAAUAAUCCAACCUUACAGCCUCUCCCACUCGCUUCCCAAUUACUAGAUUUCAUGGAAGAACCUUUAAGAUGGUGUCUGGAUGCACCAUCAAUUAUCGUAGGUACUUGCAGUUAUCAGUCUAGCCAAGACAAAAUGACCAAACUGUAAUUUGUUUCUGUACUAUUCAUACCGAGGGUCUCAGUUCCAAAUUGCUAUUCUGCUACUUUGAAGUGGUGACUUGAAAAGAAUAUAACUGCAAUUCGAGGUCUACUUCCUUAUUAUGGAUACUAGAAAGUGUCAUUGAUAUCUUAUUUCUCGAUUCACUUGUGCAUCCAAACACAGGGUUAUGGAGAAAAGAGGUUAAAAAGUUGGUUAUUCUGAACUACUUAGAACAACAUAUUCCCAACUAUUUCUUUAAUUGCAGUUACAUAGCACACUGGAUUAGUAGAGUUGCUAUGAGGAAAUAUAGAGUGCUGAUAGGGGCCUGUGAUUCGAUGAUCCAGACCAAUGAUCUGAUGGACCCUGCCAUGAAUUGAGUUUGCUCCAAAUAUCUUGCGGAUCAGAUGAUCCUAAGCCUCCAUCUUUGGCCUAUUUUCUACUGAACAUGGACUAUUGCUGUAUUUCCUUCCUUGACCAUCUAUACGUACACUGGGUUACCAAAUCAUAUUUCAGGACAACGUGCAUUAGUGGUGGGACCCAUCAAAUUGUUAGUAUGGAUCACCAAACCUGGACCGCAUAUGUUUUGUUGAGGCUCAUUACCCUAUCUAUGGUUUCUCACACCGACUACUAGGCCUAACCAACAAGGACCCAUUUAUUGGGACAUGAGGACCUGCACCAUUUGCUUUGAUAACUAUGGCAUUAGGUAGAGAAAUUUGAAAUGUUGAUUUUCCCAUUGUGUGACAAUAGUCACCAGAAUCUAAUGCCCAAGUGGGCUAGCCUAACUCGCCUUAAAAACCAUCAGGAACAAAAAAAAAAAAAAGGA